AUUGAACGCUGGCGGCAGGCCUAACACAUGCAAGUCGAGCGGAUGAAGGGGGCUUGCUCCUGGAUUCAGCGGCGGACGGGUGAGUAAUGCCUAGGAAUCUGCCUGGUAGUGGGGGAUAACGUCCGGAAACGGGCGCUAAUACCGCAUACGUCCUGAGGGAGAAAGUGGGGGAUCUUCGGACCUCACGCUAUCAGAUGAGCCUAGGUCGGAUUAGCUAGUUGGUGGGGUAAAGGCCUACCAAGGCGACGAUCCGUAACUGGUCUGAGAGGAUGAUCAGUCACACUGGAACUGAGACACGGUCCAGACUCCUACGGGAGGCAGCAGUGGGGAAUAUUGGACAAUGGGCGAAAGCCUGAUCCAGCCAUGCCGCGUGUGUGAAGAAGGUCUUCGGAUUGUAAAGCACUUUAAGUUGGGAGGAAGGGAAGUAAGUUAAUACCUUGCUGUUUUGACGUUACCAACAGAAUAAGCACCGGCUAACUUCGUG
rnacentral:rRNA from 1 species